rnacentral:misc_RNA from 1 species
GCUAAAUGCAAAUCUAAAAUGUCAAGAAAUAAUUAUACUAACUAAUAAUAAACCACAAAAUUAUAAAUAUCCCGAAAUUUAUGUUGUCAGUUUUUAUUUACAUAUAUUUAAAGAACUUUGAAAACAAAAUAAAGUGCAAAAAGUGAACCCUCAUUAAUUAUAGGCGAAAUGUCUAAAACAGUUUCAAACUUUGCAUUAUUUACCCUUGUACCCCAAACUAUUUUUUUUUCUAAUAAUUUUAAAGAGAAAAAUAAGAGAAAGCAUCAAACAAGAUAUGCAAUCGUUAAAUCAAAUGCUUCCUCAACUGGUUUCCUCGAGGUACUGUAAUAUACAUUACCAUCAACUCCCCCAAUGUAACCAAAAUUUCCGGAGAAAUGGCAAAAAAGUUCCAAAAGGGAACUAAGCUGUACGCUGCCCACUUUGUUCAGGUGAUGCAUUUGAUUGAUUUCUUGUUGGAAGCCUCCUUUGAAGGUCAAGAUUUGACAACCGCUCUACCUCCAAUGCUCGCUCAAGCUUCAGCACAUCAAAUUUCAAUUUAUGAGUAAACCACUUCAAUGGAAGAUGGCUCCUGUCAUUCAUGCCAAUAUAAUUCUAGAACAGUAUAAAUGGAAUAAAAAAAUAAAUUAGUACCUUUGCUGCUCGUGCACUCCAUUCCCCUAAAAUAGCUCUUAGUCUUUCAUUCUCUUCCACAUACUAUUCCAUCAUUUCACCAACGAAAUUAGAAAAAAUAUGUUUUGUAAUUCAUAUUCCUAACACAUACAAAUCAUAUACAAUCUUUGCAUAAAGUAUGCUCAUGAUGACUGAAGGCUGUAUCAGGUUUCUUGCAGCCCUAAACAACCACCAUACCUAAUAUUGUAGAACCAUUACUAGCA